CUACGGGAGGCUGCAGUAUGGAAUCUUGCACAAUGGGCGAAAGCCUGAUGCAGCAACGCCGCGUGAAGGAUGAAGGCCCUAGGGUCGUAAACUUCUGUUCUUGGGGAAGAUAAUGACGGUACCCAAGGAGCAAGCCCCGGCUAACUACGUGCCAGCAGCCGCGGUAAUACGUAGGGGGCAAGCGUUAUCCGGAAUUAUUGGGCGUAAAGAGUGCGUAGGUGGUUACCUAAGCGCAGGGUUUAAGGCAAUGGCUCAACCAUUGUUCGCCUUGCGAACUGGGCUACUUGAGUGCAGGAGAGGAAAGCGGAAUUCCUAGUGUAGCGGUGAAAUGCGUAGAUAUUAGGAGGAACACCAGCGGCGAAGGCGGCUUUCUGGACUGUUACUGACACUGAGGCACGAAAGCGUGGGGAGCAAACAGGAUUAGAUACCCUUGUAGUC
rnacentral:rRNA from 1 species